GGGUUCUGAAGUUUAUAUUUUAAGCUUCAGAAGGGACUGUAGAUGGUCGGGCCGCCAUCC
rnacentral:ncRNA from 1 species